rnacentral:rRNA from 1 species
CCUAUGGGCGGCUGCAGUGGGGAAUAUUGGACAAUGGGCGAAAGCCUGAUCCAGCCAUGCCGCGUGUGUGAAGAAGGCCUUCGGGUUGUAAAGCACUUUCAGUGGGGAAGAAAGCCUUGGGGCUAAUACCCUCGAGGAAGGACAUCACCCACAGAAGAAGCACCGGCUAACUCCGUGCCAGCAGCCGCGGUAAUACGGAGGGUGCGAGCGUUAAUCGGAAUUACUGGGCGUAAAGCGCGCGUAGGCGGUCUGAUAAGCCGGUUGUGAAAGCCCCGGGCUCAACCUGGGAACGGCAUCCGGAACUGUCAGGCUAGAGUGCAGGAGAGGAAGGUAGAAUUCCCGGUGUAGCGGUGAAAUGCGUAGAGAUCGGGAGGAAUACCAGUGGCGAAGGCGGCCUUCUGGACUGACACUGACGCUGAGGUGCGAAAGCGUGGGUAGCAAACAGGAUUAGAUACCCGAGUAGUC